rnacentral:rRNA from 2 species
GGACUACUGGGGUAUCUAAUCCCGUUUGAUCCCCACGCUUUCGUGCCUCAGUGUCAGAACCGGCCCAGUCACCCGUCUUCACCACCGGCGUUCCUGACGAUAUCUACGCAUUUCACCGCUCCACCGUCAGUUCCAGUGACCCCUACCGGCCUCAAGUCCGCCAGUAUCCGAAGCAGUUCCUGGGUUGAGCCCAGGGAUUUCACAACGGACUUAACGGACCACCUACGCACCCUUUAAACCCAGUGAUUCUCAGUAACGCUUGGGACCUCUGUAUUACCGCGGCGGCUGGCAC